rnacentral:lncRNA from 1 species
UCUGAUUCAGUGAAUAUAUUGUAUCAAAAAUUUGAUGAAGAGAAACUAAGUAUAUCAGUUGAAAAACCUAAGCUUCAGUAUAUGAAACCAAAAUCAUACACAGAUGACACCGAGGAAGACAAUGUUAAAACCCAGUGUGAAGUUAGCGCCCAAAGUGAAAUACCUGACCUCGAGUAUAUGAAUACAAAAUCAUACACAGAUGACGCUGAUGAAGACAAUGUUAAAACCCAGUGUGAAGUUAGCGCCCAAAGUGAAACACCUGACCUCGAGUAUAUGGAACCAAAAUCACACACAGAUGACGCUGAUGAAGACAAAGUUCAAACCCACUGUGAAGUAACUGCUCAAAGUUUGGAGGAGCAUAAUACAGUAUUGUUGACUGAGGAAAAGGUAAAGCUGGGGUUGGAUAUUGUG